ACCCAUAACUGAAUACAUAGGUUAUGUGGAGGGCACCCGGAGAACUGAAACAUCUUAGUACCCGG
rnacentral:rRNA from 1 species